rnacentral:rRNA from 1 species
AUUGAACGCUGGCGGCAGGCCUAACACAUGCAAGUCGAGCGGAUGAGAGGAGCUUGCUCCUUGAUUUAGCGGCGGACGGGUGAGUAAUGCCUAGGAAUCUGCCUGGUAGUGGGGGAUAACGUUCCGAAAGGAACGCUAAUACCGCAUACGUCCUACGGGAGAAAGCAGGGGACCUUCGGGCCUUGCGCUAUCAGAUGAGCCUAGGUCGGAUUAGCUAGUUGGUGAGGUAAUGGCUCACCAAGGCGACGAUCCGUAACUGGUCUGAGAGGAUGAUCAGUCACACUGGAACUGAGACACGGUCCAGACGCCUACGGGAGGCAGCAGUGGGGAAUAUUGGACAAUGGGCGAAAGCCUGAUCCAGCCAUGCCGCGUGUGUGAAGAAGGUCUUCGGAUUGUAAAGCACUUUAAGUUGGGAGGAAGGGCAGUAAGCUAAUACCUUGCUGUUUUGACGUUACCGACAGAAUAAGCACCGGCUAACUUCGUG